rnacentral:rRNA from 1 species
CGUGUGGUUCUAUUUUGUUGGUUUCUAGGACCGCCGUAAUGAUUAAUAGGGACAGUCGGGGGCAUCAGUAUUCAAUUGUCAGAGGUGAAAUUCUUGGAUUUAUUGAAGACUAACUACUGCGAAAGCAUUUGCCAAGGAUGUUUUCAUUAAUCAGGAACGAAAGUUAGGGGAUCGAAGACGAUCAGAUACCGUCGUAGUCUUAACCAUAAACUAUGCCGACUAGGGAUCGGACGAUGUUACAUUUUUGACGCGUUCGGCACCUUACGAGAAAUCAAAGUGCUUGGGCUCCAGGGGGAGUAUGGUCGCAAGGCUGAAACUUAAAGAAAUUGACGGAAGGGCACCACCAGGGGUGGAGCCUGCGGCUUAAUUUGACUCAACACGG